rnacentral:rRNA from 1 species
GGACGAACGCUGGCGGCGUGCCUAAUACAUGCAAGUCGAGCGAUCUGGAGGUUGGAGAUUAGAGGUUAGAAGUUAGACGAAACCAAUCGGCGAAGCCGAUUGGAUGAAUCUGAUUUCCAACUUCCAAUCUCCAACUUCCAGGGAGCGGCGGACGGGUGAGUAACACGUGGGCAACCUGCCCGCAAGAYCGGGAUAACUCCGGGAAACCGGGGCUAAUACCGGAUGAUGCCUCUUCCUGCAUGGGRRGAUGCUGAAAGRCGGCCUUUGGCUGUCACUUGCGGAUGGGCCCGCGGCGCAUUAGCUGGUUGGUGAGGUAACGGCUCACCAAGGCGACGAUGCGUAGCCGACCUGAGAGGGUGAYCGGCCACACUGGGACUGAGACACGGCCCAGACUCCUACGGGAGGCAGCAGUAGGGAAUUUUCCGCAAUGGGCGCAAGCCUGACGGAGCAACGCCGCGUGAGUGAGGACGGCUUUCGGGUUGUAAAACUCUGUUCUUCGGGAAGAACGGUCGAAGGGUGAACAAUCCUUUGRCGUGACGGUACCGGAGGAGAAAGCCCCGGCUAACUACGU